rnacentral:lncRNA from 1 species
CUCUAAGCUCUCAUUUUUUUACCUAGAAACUCUACUAAAAUUUUCGUUCGAGCACUCCAUUCUUGUUGAGGCAGAGAACUGACUUGAGCAUCGGAGGGUCUUGUCGGAGCAACCCCACCUCCGGUUUAGACUUCUUUUGCAGGUCCCGACGGCGACCGCGACCCCUACAACUCUAGCUUCUCCAGCGUAGGCAAAUUUUUGCACCAACAAUAUUUAAAUUUUUAUUAAUAAAAAUUAUUUGAUAUUUUUAUUAUAAAUUAUCCAUCUUUCAACUCCUG